AUGGCAGAAUGCUUCAGUAGGGUGCUCAAAGGUGUACGUGCAUUACCCAUGACGACAAUAGUUCAAUACACAUUCCACAAGAUGAAGGCGUACUUUCUGUAGCACUCAAUGGAAACGGAUAAGCAGAUUGUGGGUGAGAACAAGCACAAGUACAAGUACAAGUUCCCACCACAGGUUAAUGGAUGGUUGGAAUUUCAAUAACGGAAGGCGGACUCCCAACAAGUUGUAUUAUAUGACAACGAGAAUUGGAUGUAUAAGGUAAAAGAGCCAGGAGGAACCACAAAUGAUGGCCGCCAACACGGAGGCCGGGCUUCCAAGGUCUCCCUAACACGGUGUGAUUGCACUUGCGGGAGGCCAUCGUUGCUUCAUCUCCCAUGCUCGCACUUGUAUACUACAGCCCACACGAGGAAUAUGGACGUUAAUCACCCGCUCACCAUGAGGGAGUCAGAGUUCUCAAUCAUGAUGGUGAAGAAUACAUGGGCUCCUCGAUUUCACCCAUCCCUUGACCAAUCACAAUGGCCAGAGUACCAUGGAGUUCAACUAUGGCCCAAUCCAGAACCGAAGGUCGUUACACGGGGAAGACGUAAGACAAAGUGUCUUAUAGGUGACAUGGACAGAUGGGGUGGUGGUGGCUGA
rnacentral:rRNA from 1 species